GACUCAAUGACCUCACAAGGUCCCUUCCAGUUCUAGUGUUCUAUGAUUCUAUGAAAAGGGACUUAAAGGGCAGGUGGGUACCAGGAUUACAGUAGGCAUCCAGGGCAAAAUGACCACAAGGAAAUCACACUCAGAAUUCACCUGGCUUCAGGUUUCAUCAUGAGAAAAAUAACCCCAAAACAAACCCGUCUAGCACAGACGGUAUUUUCCGGUUGAGAUGUGGAACAAACACAAGCUUGGCUGCGCCACUCCAGAGCAACAAGAACUACUAGGGAAAAAAAAUAAAUAAGAGACUCAGAUUAAUCCCGGGUGUGGUGAACGCAACGUCCGGACAACUGAAGUGUUAUGCUAGCAUCGGAUCCCAAGAAGAAAUAUGAGCUUCUGUUGUAGCCAAGAAUUCCCCACCAUCAGGACACUGGAAAACUGAAUAAAUACAGCUCUAUGGGCUGAUGAGGGUGAA